UCCGUAGGUGGCAAGCGUUACUCGGAAUCACUAGGCGUAAAGCGCAGGUAGGCGGUUGGAUAAGUUUCUUGUGAAAGCUCCCGGCUUAACUGGGAGAGGCCAAGGAAUACUAUCUGACUAGAGUAUGGUAGGGGUAACUGGAAUUCCCGGUGUAGCGGUGAAAUGCUUAGAGAUUACAUGGAAUACCGAUUGCGAAGGCAGGUUACUACUGGUGGAUUGACGCUGAUGGACGAAAGCGUGGGUAGCAAACAGG
rnacentral:rRNA from 1 species